GGAAAGUGUACCUAGGGUUCCACAACCUUUUCAGGGUUGGUUCGGUCCAAGCGGUACAGGCGUCUUUUUCGACGUUACACCGAAAGGGAUAAAAGCCCAGGCGGU
rnacentral:sRNA from 2 species